ACCACUUUGUGCUUCAUGACUGGGGUGAAGUCGUAACAAGGUAACCGUAGGGGAACCUGCGGUUGGAUCACCUCCUUA
rnacentral:rRNA from 1 species